rnacentral:rRNA from 16 species
CUAAGGAGUGUGUAACAACUCACCUGCCGAAUGACCUAGCCCUGAAAAUGGAUGGCGCUGUAGCGGGCGACUUUUGCCCGGCCAUGGUCGCUCUGGGUGCGGUCAUGAGUAGGAGGGCGUGGGGGUUGUGCGGCAGGCCGUGGCGUGAGCCAGGCUGAAGCGGCCCCUAGUGCAGAUCUUGGUGGAAGUAGCAAGUAUUCAAGC